rnacentral:rRNA from 1 species
UACGUAGGGGGCUAGCGUUGUCCGGAUUUAUUGGGCGUAAAGAGCGUGUAGGCGGCCAGAUAGGUCUGCUGUGAAAACUCGAGGCUCAACCUCGAGAUGUCGGCGGAAACCAUUUGGCUAGAGUCCGGAAGAGGAAAGUGGAAUUCCGGGUGUAGCGGUGGAAUGCGUAGAUAUGCGGAGGAACACCUGAGGCGAAGGCGGGCUACUGGGCCGAUACUGACGCUGAUGUGCGAAAGCCAGGGGAGCGAACGGG